rnacentral:rRNA from 1 species
CGUAACGAGCGCAACCCUUGUCCUUAGUUACCAGCACGUAAUGGUGGGCACUCUAAGGACAUUGCCGGUGACAAACCGGAGGAAGGUGGGGAUGACGUCAAGCCAUCAUGGCCCUUACGGGCUGGGCUACACACGUGCUACAAUGGUCGGUACAGAGGGUUGCCAAGCCGCGAGGUGGAGCUACUCCCAGAAAACCGAUCGUAGUCCGGAUCGCAGUCUGCAACUCGACUGCGUGAAGUCGGAAUCGCUAGUAAUCGCGAAUCAGAAUGUCGCGGUGAAUACGUUCCCGGGCCUUGUACACACCGCCCGU